rnacentral:tRNA from 1 species
ACCCUAUUAAUAUAAAACAAUAUAUUUACCUUCCAAGUAAAAAAUCUAAAAAUUUAGAUAGGGUA